rnacentral:tRNA from 1 species
GGGCGAUUAACUCAGCUGGUCAGAGUGCUUCCCUUACAAGGAAGAGGUCGGGAGUUCGAAUCUCUCAUCGCCCA